rnacentral:lncRNA from 1 species
AUGUUAAAUUUAUUGAUCAUCAGGAAAAAGAAUGUUUAUGUACACCAAUAACUAAAGAAUUCUAUCAUAACUCAAACUAUGAAACCUAGUUAUUCCUAUGGCUGCCUUGCACUAAACCAACACUGCAUUAGUCCUUUGAGUUUCUGCUUCUCAUAGUACUUUGUAGACAUGAUCCUUUGUCUUAUAGUCUUUUCAAUGAACUUCGCCAACUGAGCAACAGGCUUUGCAGGCUGUCCAUG